GACGAACGCUGGCGGCGUGCUUAACACAUGCAAGUCGAACGGAAAGGCCCUGCUUUUGUGGGGUGCUCGAGUGGCGAACGGGUGAGUAACACGUGAGUAACCUGCCCUUGACUUUGGGAUAACUUCAGGAAACUGGGGCUAAUACCGGAUAGGAGCUCCUGCUGCAUGGUGGGGGUUGGAAAGUUUCGGCGGUUGGGGAUGGACUCGCGGCUUAUCAGCUUGUUGGUGGGGUAGUGGCUUACCAAGGCUUUGACGGGUAGCCGGCCUGAGAGGGUGACCGGCCACAUUGGGACUGGGGUACGGCCCAGAGUCCUACGGGAGGCAGCGGUGGGGAAUAUUGCACAAUGGGCGGAAGCCGGAUGCAGGAACGCCGCGUGCGGGAUGACGGCUUUCGGGUGGUAAACCGCUUUCGCCUGUGACGAAGCGUGAGUGACGGUAAUGGGGAAAGAAGCACCGGCAAACUACGU
rnacentral:rRNA from 1 species